UAAAAAGCUUUUCUGAAAGCUACAAAUAUUAAGAUUUUUAUUUGGU
rfam:Oryctes borbonicus contig25675, whole genome shotgun sequence.